CCAUGGGAGAGGUGAAAACAGGGAUAGGGGGAAGGAGGGAAAAACACGAAGCAGCCUGGAUGCUGCCCCUGGUGUUGAGCGUUUCCAAAGGCCUGUGGUGGCUGAAAUUAGUGUCGUGGUUGUUUUUCAUGCCUCUGUCCCCCAGCUGAGGCAGAGCUGCUGCUCCUGCUCCUAAGUCCCCUCCAUCACUGGGCUCUGACAAGCGCGGGGAGGCCAGGCCUAAGUGCUGUGACACACACACUCCUCCCACACAGCUCCCCAAGGAAAAGCUCAGGGAGCUUCAGCGAGAAACACGAGAAGAUUCGGGGGAAAGGAGCAAACCCAACCCAUUGGCUGCAGGAUUUAAGGAGCUUGGAUGUUCUCCCAGCAGGUUGAACACCAGGAACACAGCCCUGGGAAUAAGCUGAAGGGAAGGAGAACCAAGGCAGCAUUUGGGGUUUCCCCUUCCUCCCCCCACCCAGCUGGGUCCUUUUAUUGCUUCUUGGAAGAGAACAUAUCCCGGGUAAUCCCUGGCUGGAUGUGCUGUGCUGGACCACUGGAAGGAGGAGGUCCGAGGAAACCUCCAGCCCUGUCUCACAAGGACAAGCUGCCCGGCGAGAUGUUAAUUUGAUUACGGGCGUGGCCUUUGCCUCUCGGAGGGAUCGGGAGCUCGGGGAAGCGUCUUCCCAAAAAACCUGCUGCGUGUGGAUCCGAAGCUUCUCAGCUGCCUUCCCGACACCAUGUGGAGCUGGGGAGCUGGGAGGUGUUUGUCUGGCUGCCCAGCUUGCAAAGGCACAGCACUGGACAGGA